CGCGUAGGUGGUUUGUUAAGUCGGAUGUGAAAGCCCAGGGCUCAACCUUGGAAUUGCAUUCGAUACUGGCAGACUAGAGUAUGGUAGAGGAAAGUGGAAUUCCGGGUGUAGCGGUGAAAUGCGUAGAUAUCCGGAGGAACAUCAGUGGCGAAGGCGACUUUCUGGACCAAUACUGACACUGAGGUGCGAAAGCGUGGGUAGCAAACAGGAUUAGAUACCCUGGUAGUCC
rnacentral:rRNA from 1 species